rnacentral:lncRNA from 1 species
UAAGGUAAGGUAGAUAAGGUUUCAGAGGAUAAUAACUUCAAUAAUUGAGAUGAUAUAAGAAAAACUAUCAAGAGAGAAGUGGUAUUCAUAAGAUGAGCUAGAUAAGUAUUUUACUCACGGAAGGUGAUCCCACUAAGUUCAAGUUAUAACAGUACACAUGCCAACUUUUAAUUUACUUUUAAUGAUUUCAAAUGGAUGAGAAAGAAGUAUUCAUACAUUAUUCUAAACCCAAUCACUGAAAUAGCAAGUGGAUGUUUUUAGCCAAAAAAAAAAAAGAAGAACAUGGAGACCAAUUAAUGAGUUGACUCUAAGUCAUAUGGACUUCGUAUUUAGGUCGUAUUCAACUGUUGAGCUCAAUAGGAAAUUAUCUUUUCUUCAAAUGUUUGAAAAUUUUGAGUUGAUUGUGUUCUUCUUCGCCAUAUGUGGUUCCUGUAAUCGAGAAUAACAAAUCAUUAGACAUGUUGCAACAUGUUAUUUUUUUGCAUAACUGAUUGUUCAAUUAUAACCGGUAGGACUUGAAUAUAUUGUCAUAUACAAAUGUCAAUAAGUUAACCAUGUCUUUUAAAAAGAAAAGAGAGUACAGGACAUAAAACCAUUUAUUCUACUUUUAAUAUCUUACGUGAGCAUUGGUUAUGUCUGCGGAUAAACUAAAUUAUAGUUGAAAUAUGACACACACAUCCUGCAAGUUCAAAUAGGUAGGCAUCGUACCGCUGAAUCCAUGAUUUUUGUUUGGUAAGAAUGAAUAUUCUGAGGUGUGAACCGAAAAUAAGUACUCAUAUUGAAAUGUAGUAUGGAGUUCUUAAUUUAACAACAAUCAUGAUAGGUAAGGUAACUGAUCUAUAAUGACUUAUUCUUGCUAUUCACAUGGCAGCCACUGAAGCAAGCAAAUGGCGUAAAGAUAAACAAUCUCCACACAGUCUCCUCAAAUUUUUUUCAGUUAAACUAUAAAAAUGAUUCAUCAAAAACUAACCACUGAUUAUUACCUUUAUGAUCCUAAAAUCUCAUACAUUGCACUGACUAUGCAUUGACAACCCACUACGCACAUUAUGAGAUUCCUAAAAAUAUUUGAAUAGUUAAAAUAAUAAAAUAAAGGAAUCAAAAGUACAAAAGCUACCAUUUCUAAUCAUGAGAUCAACCUUGAACCUCAUUCAAGAGUAGGUUGGAAGAAGAAUCAAAAGAGAAACAAUGAAAAUACACAAAAAUAAGUGAGCGAAAGAACAGGACUAUAAGAGCAUGGAUGAUGAAUCAAUGUGCAAUGUAGUCCGAUAAUGCAAACAAAAAUAUAAAAGGGGUUAUACAUCAAAAUUUUAAAUCAACAAUUAGUAAAUUUUCCCUGUUUUAAACCUUAAAAAAUUCAACGUUUCAAAGGGGUUAUACCUCAAAAUUAGCAGAGAAUCAACCUUUGACCGACUAAUUAUCAUAAAUAGAAAAAAGGAAAAAAUAAUAUAUAAACCCUUCAAAAUAACAAUUGAAAGGGUAUACCUCAAUAUUUUCAUUCAGCCCUUCGAAAGCUCCAAGAAUACUCCAUCCUAGUAAUGAUUGCUGCUUCAAGAGUUUAUUCAGCAAGAAGCAGUAUACAAGUUUAUCCCAAAUUGUGAAACAAAGAGUUGUGUUCAAAGUCUGAUUAAAAAUAAUAAAAAGUAAAAAUCCUAAAAGAAGAUUUGGCUUGAAUCGUAGCAAAUGGUGGAUGAUUAACAAAGAAAUAGUGAAAGAGGAUUCUAGAAGUAAGAAUGUGAGGGAGGACACGUAUUUCA